rfam:Jatrophihabitans endophyticus strain DSM 45627 genome assembly, contig: Ga0131187_103
UUCGGCGACCAUAGCGAGAGGGAAACGCCCGGUCCCAUCCCGAACCCGGAAGCUAAGCCUCUCAGCGCCGAUGGUACUGCGCGGGCCACUGCGUGGGAGAGUAGGACGUCGCCGGAC